rnacentral:other from 2 species
GAUAGGCGUAAAACUCAUCGAAAAUAAACCUUACAAGCAUAAUAUUGGGGACUGUCCCUGACAAUGGUGAGCAAGCUUACCUCGUAGUAAGAAGCCUAAAGUUGUUAUCAUGGUCACCCACCUUGCAAAAAAGAGGUUUAUCUUUCAGAGUUGUCUACGGACCUUUUU